GUGCAGUGAUGGAGUCCGGGUCCAGCAUGGGAGGGGCCUGGGCCAAAUCCCCAGCACAAGGGAUGGGGGUUAGGGAGAGUGGGGUUGGGAGAGAAGAGUGGAGAGAAGAGAGGGAGAAGGAAGGGAGAAAUGAGAGAAAAGAGAAGGAAAGAAAAAAGAGAGAAAGAGAAAAAGAAGAGUAGGGAGAGGGAAGAAAUAAUGAGAAAUAAGGGAGGGGGGAGGGAGAAAGAGAAAUUGUGCUAAGAGUCCUACAUUUUAAUACAAAAAUUUAAAGAACAAGAACAUUAUUUAUGAGCCAAUAUAUAUAAAAAAAAUGAUGGAACCAAAAACGCAAAUAAACAGUACAAACCAGUCUCACCUGCGUAAGUACCUGAUCUGCAUUUACAUGUUUGUGAGCAGAGCCUCGGUGGCUGGUCUGACAGAUAACCUGGAUGAGCAAGAAGUGGAUGGGGGAGGAAAGGAAGCAGAAAAAGCAAGCUUGAGUCAUCUUUCUGCAGGAAUUGCAUUUAAAAGAUUACAAUUACACAGGCAAUUUCUACCGCAGGCUUCUUGUGCAGCUCAUUCCUCAGGCGGAGCGUGAGCCUUUUAACACUUUCACAGAUAAAUUCAGUUAAUUCUUCUUCUCAUUAAUGACUCCACAUUAAACCUAGGCCUUCAGAGGAGGAGGGGGAGACCACAGCAGAUACAGAGCACACGUGUCCCUGUCUCCUCCCUGGGCUCUGUGCCCACCAGAGCUUAGCUGCUUCUCCCCGUUGGCAAGGACAGUUGAAUCAAAGACAGAAGAUGGAGAAACAGAAAAACUCUCUACCCAAAGCAAGACAUGUUUGUUCAUAAAGGUGUCCCUCUCCUGUCCACCAAGAAGGGCAGAAUUCAUCUCUGGAGGCGACUAUGGACCGUCCUCAAUGUGGACAGUGGUGGAAGCUCACAUAACUCCUUCUGGUACUUUCUGACUAGUCAUCUUAAAGCCCUUUAAGAUGCCUUACUCAGGCUUUGUUGCAUAGAUAGGCCUGCAGGCCCAGGGAUUUGAAGAGGCUGAGGAAGGAAGAUCACAAAUUUAAGGGCAGCUCAAGCUCCAGAGCCAGUUCAAGGCCAGACAAGAGUACAUGAGGACCUGGGCACACACCUCAGCAUCCAUUCACAGAAUCCUGUACAGUAGUACACACUUGUGAUCCCAGCACUGAGGUGAGACCAUGGAGGUACCUGGGUUUGCCCAUCUAGCUUAGCCUAACCAGGUGAGCCCCAGGCCAGGAGGAGACUCCAUCUCAAACAACUGUGGGCAGCAUGGAAGGAGGAGCCAAGCCCGAGUUUGUUCUAUUUCCAUGCAAAUAUACACAUCGCCUAUCAGCCUUGGUCAUGCCAUUUUGAAGUCUCUCCCUUUGGGUUAAGUGAUGGCAAUUUCCACCACAGAAGUCAGCACUGCAGACUUGGUUUCCUGGAUCCUGCCCUGCCCCUGCAUCCCUCUGAUGAUGGCUGAUCAGGAGGGAUGCUUAUCCAUCACCGGAUGUUUGCUCAUUUGCUGCUCACUGUUCUUUGGUCACUCCUGCCAGUGGCCAAUCUGGAACUGGAAAGGACUAAUAACAGCCUCCUUCCCAGCCUCUCCACCUUCUGCCCUGUAAUUACUUUAGCUUGUAAGCAGACGUCAGACCCUGAUUCUUAUACCGAUGCACUCUGUCUUCUCCCAGAUUAAAA
rnacentral:lncRNA from 1 species